GCCGGAAUAGCUCAKUUGGUAGAGCAGAGGACUGAAAAUC
rnacentral:tRNA from 1 species